rnacentral:misc_RNA from 1 species
GGGGGGUUGUUCUGCUUUAAGUGAAAACAGCUAUGUAAAGUGUGUCAUUAAGAAGAGAUUACAACUUGCCCAAAUUGCAGCCCAGAGACUUAAACUUGCAGUCUAGAAUGCAAAUUAAGUGCAGUGAUAGCAUCAAACUAUAGUUGAAAUCUAAGAAAAUUGUGGUACCAGUCUUAUCAAAUUGCAAUUUAAACUGCCAGAUUGAUUGCUACUAAAUGCAUGGAAUAACAAUUACGCGCAAUUCCCAAGAAGAAAAUAUCAAGAACCUUUACAUAUUAUAAUUUGUAAACCCAUAAAGGCUUUUUGUAUGUGAAAAGCUUGAGUCAUCAUAAACUUCUUAAUUUAAGUAAGACACUACCCAAAUACCUCUUUCUGUGAUAAUUCCUGCAAUUGAUUUCUGCUCUCCAGGUUUAA